GAGACCCCAGGUCAGGCGGGAUUACCCGCUUAGUUUAAGAAUAUCAAUAAGCAAAGGAAAAAAAACUUACAAGGAUUCCCUUAGUAACGACGAGCGAACCGGGAAAUGCCAGCUUGAGAAUCAGGUGCCUACGGCGUCCGAAUUGUAGUCUGGAGAAGCGUCCUCAGAGGCGGACCAAGCUCAAGUCUCCUGGAAGGGGGUGCCGGAGAGAGUUAGAGCCCCGUCGCUCUUGGACCCUGUCGCACCAUGAGGCGCUGUCUACGAGUCGGGUUGUUUGGGAAUGCAGCCCAAAUCGGGCGGUAAAUUCUGUCCAAGGCUAAAUAUUCGCGAGGGACCGAUAGCAAACAAGUACCACGAGGGAAAGAUGAAAAGGACUUUGAGAAAAGAGUCAAAGAGUACUUGAAAUUGUUGGGAGGGAAGCAGAUAGAGGGCGGUGGUGCGUCCUGGUCGGAUGUGGAAUGGUGCUGAGCCGGUUUGCCAAUCGACUCGAGGCGUGGACCGACACAGAAUGGGGCGGCGUCGCAAGCCCGAGCCUUUGUUGGCAGCGCGCGCCCUUGGCGUGCUCAGGCAUCAGUGCGCUCCAGGCGUCGGCCUGCGGGCACCCCAUUCGGCCCUUCUUAAAACACGGACCAAGGAGUCAAUGGGCGAGAAAACCCGUGAGGCACAAGGAAGCUGAGUGGUGGGAUCCCGUGAAGGUUGCACCACCCACCGUCCUUGAUAUUUUGAGAAGGGUUCGAGUGUGAACAUGCCUGUCGGGACCCGAAAGAUGGUGAACUAUGCCAGAGCAGGGCGAAGCUAGAGGAAACUCUGGUGGAGGCCCGCAGCGAUACUGAUGUGCAAAUCGUUCAUCUGACUUGGGUAUAGGGGCAAAAGACUAAUCAAACCGUCUAGUAGCUGCUUCCCUCCGAAGUUUCCCUUAGGAUAGCUGGAGCCCAUGGGCAAGUUCUCUCGGGUAAAGCCGAUGAUUAGAGGCAUCGGGGGCACAACGCCCUCGACCUAUUCUAAAACUUUAAAUAGGUAGGACAGCGCAACUGCUUUGUUGAGCCGCGCCACGGAAUCGAGAGCUCCAAGUGGGCCAUUUUUGGUAAGCAGAACUAGCGAUGCGGGUCAAACCAAAAGACCGGUUACGGUGCCCAACUGCACACUAACCUAGAACCCACAAAGGGUGUUGGUCGAUUAAGACAACAUAACGUUGGUCAUGGAAGUCGAAAUAACUCCCCUACCAAAUCAACUAGCCCCAACAAUGGAUGGCGCUGAAGCGCGCAACCUAUACCCGGCCGUCGGGGCAAGUAUCAGGCUCUGAUAAGUAGGAGGGAGUGGCAGUUGCCGCAAAACCUGGGGCGCAAGCCCGGGCGGAGCGUCCGUUGGUGCAAAUCUUGGUGGUAGUAGCAAAUAUUCAAAUGAGACUAUGAAGGCCGAAGGGGGAAAGGUUCCAUGUAAACAGCACUUGCACAUGGGUUAGUCGAUCCUAAGAGAAAGGGCAAUCCCGUCUGACAGCGCCCAGCACGGGAGCAUCGAAAGGGAAUCGGGUUAAAAUUCCUGAACCGGGACAUGGCGGCUGAUGUCAACGUUAGGGAGUCCGGAGACAUCGUCGGGGACCUUGGGAAGAGUUAUCUUUUCUGUUUAGCAGCCUGCCCAUCUUGGAAACGACUGAGCCAGAGGUAGGGUUCUGUGACUGGAAGAGCACCACACGUCGCGCGGUGUUCGGUACGUCCUCGACGGCCCUUCAAAAUUUGGAGGACCCAGUGCCUCCCACGCCUGGUCGUACUCAUAACCACAUCAGGUCUCCAAGGUGAACAACCUUUGGUCGGAUGAACAAUGUAGGCAAGGGAAGUCGGCAAAAUGGAUCUGUAACCUCGGGAAAAGGAUUGGCUCUGAGGGCUGGGCAUGGCGGUCCCUGUCUCAAAUCCGUCGGUUGUCAAUGGACUGCUCGAGCUGCUCUCUCGGCGAGAGCUGGUCGUCGCGUGCCGGCCGGGGGACGGACUGGGAACAGCUCCUUCAAGGGGCUUCCCCGGGCAUCAAAAAAUUGACUCAGAACUGGUACAGACAAGGGGAAUCCGACUGUUUAAUUAAAACAAAGCAUUGCGAUGGUCCUUGCGGAUGCUGACGCAAUGUGAUUUCUGCCCAGUGCAAUGAAUGUCAAAGUGAAGAAAUUCAACUAAGCGCGGGUAAACGGCGUGAGUAACUAUGACUCUCUUAAGGUAGCCAAAUGACUCGUCAUCUAGUUAGUGACGCGCAUUAAUGGAUUAACGAGAUUCCCACUAACCCUGUCUAGUAUCCAUCAAAACCACAGACAAGGGAACGGGCUUGGCAGAAUCAGCGGGGAAAGAAGACCNCCUAAGAAACUUAAUUGGCCUUUUGUUUUGAGUCUCGAAUGAGCUGCUAGCCAGAGAGUGAAAGAGUGCUUAGGAAUAAGACAUUUGGACCAAACAAGAGGAGCCCACUGUCUUGGAGGGCCCGAAGGUCUUAUGGAGUGGUAAAGAUGAGAUAGACCAUGACAAUUUGAUUUUUCCUUCAAAGCAUCAAUUAAGGCCUUCACUUUCUAAGUGGGAGCCAGAAACGGAAAAAUUGAAAUAACACUACUUUUAACGUUAUUUUACUUAUUCCGUGAAUCGGAAGCGGGGCAAUGCCCCUCUUUUUGGACCCAAGGCCCACCUCAAUGGGUCGAUCCGCGCAGAAGACAUUGAGUUUGGCAGGGGUAGCACAUCUGUUAAAAGAUAACACAGAUGUCCUAAGAUGAGCUCAACGAGAACAGAAAUCUCGUGUAGAACAAAAGGGUAAAAGCUCGUUUGAUUCUGAUUUCCAGUACGAAUACAAACCAUGAAAGCGUGGCCAAUCGAUCCUUUAGACCUUUGGAAUUUGAAGCUAGAGGUGUCAAAAAAGUUACCACAGGGAUUACUAGCUUGUGGCAGCCAAGCGUUCAUAGCGAAGUUGCUUUUUGAUCCUUCGAUGUUGGCUCUUCCUAUCAUUGUGAAGCAGAAUUCACCAAGUGUUGGAUUGUUCACCCACCAAUAGGGAACGUGAGCUGGGUUUAGACAGUCGUGAGAUGGGUUAGUUUUACCCUACUGAUGACAGUGUCGCAAUAGUAAUUCAACCUAGUAUGAGAGGAACCAUUGAUUCACACAAUUGGUCAUCGCGCUUGGUUAAAAAGCCAGUGGCACAAAUCUACCGUGCACUGGAUUAUGAAUGAACGCCGCUAAGUCAAAAUCUGGGCUAGAAGCAACGCACGCACUGAUGUGCCUU
rnacentral:rRNA from 1 species